AUUGAAUUGGAAGAAUGUAGAAGGAACAAUACUAGAUCUACAACAAAAUACAAGAACAACAUAAAGAAAAUUGCAAUAAAAGAAUGGAAGAAGAAUCAAUGUAACUACAAGGAAUUGAGAUGUAGAAGUAGAAGAACAUGAAUCUACAUCUAGACCUAAGAACUAAACCUAAUCCUAAUUCUAGAGAGAAGGGAGAGCUUCUCUCUCUAAAACUCUAAACUAAAAGUGAUUAGUGGUUGGGAAUGAUGGUUAGUCAAAAAGUGAUGAUGAUCCUCCUUCCCCCUAAUCCUUCAUUCUUUUAUUCCUUUCCCUUAGCAAUUUGGCGCCAAAAAUGGGUUCAGAAACCCUCUCAAAUCGCCAGGCACGUGUUGCAUUAGUGAGGUCAUGUGCCCUCAUCGACGCGUGCACGCACGGUACGCGUGCGCGUCCCUGGCUAAUUCUGCGAUGUGCGCGCGAGCGCCUUGUGCGCGCGCGCGUGCAUGGCUGACUUUGCUUCUUUGACUUUUUAUGCUUCUCUCCACUUGUAUGCUUCCUUCCUUGCUUCCUUUGAUCCAUGCCUAGCCUAUUUCAAAAGUCCAAACCACAAUUGUAUUGAAUUGUCAAAAAGAGUUCAAACUUGCAAGAAUAUAGAUAAUAUGGGUGAACACAUGUGAUUGAACUUUUGAACCCUCACCGGAUGUGUAUCCGCUCUAUUCACUCAAGUGUUUAAGGGUUAAUUCACUCAAUUCUCUUCUAAUCAUGUUUUCCAAAAUUUGAUUUUCUUCUAACAAUCAACACUUAUUCAAUGCAUGCAUACAUUCAUCAUGAGGUCUUUCAUUUAGGUUGUAAUGGGGUUAGGGUCAAGGUCGGAUCAUUUAUGGUCAAGUGGACUAGGAUUUGAAUCUUUGAUUAGCAUAGACUUUCCCACCUAACCUAUUUAAUGACCUAUACAAAUGCAAGCUAUUCUAACUACCCAUUCUUCACUUUUUUUUCUUACAUACUCAUGCAUUCUUAUUUGAUUCAUAAUACUUAUGCAUUGAUCCCCUUUUUAUUGACUUCACUUUGGGGCAUUCUGUCCCUUCUUUAUUGUAUUAUUUUUUUUUUCUUUUUCAUCAUCAUCAUUUUUUUCAUUUUUCUUUUCUUUUCAUCAUUUUUUUCUUUUCUUUAUAUAUAUAUUUUUCUUUUUUUCUUCUUUCAAACUAAAUACAAGAACAUCAAUGCAUAAGGUCUCUACAUUUAAUCAAUACAUGAAUAUGUGCCCAAUUCCUAAACAUAAAAGUGUACUGCCCCUUUUUAUCCCAUCCAAUGUUCCCAAGCCUCACCAACUUUGAAUAAUAAAACACUCUCACUAGCCUAGGUCAAUCAAAGAUCCAAACAAGGACUUUUCAUUGGUUUUCUACCUUAGGCUUGUAAUGUGCUAAAAUAAGAAUAAGUUGGUUAAGCAUAGGCUCAAAAUUGGCUAACAAUGGAGAGUAAAAAGUUGGCUAUUUGGGUAAGUGGCUAAUGAAAGAAUGGCCUCAAUCAUAUAAAUGCACAAACACAAGAAAUAAACGGAUAUAUAGAAUCAAGCAAAUCAAGGAUCACAAUCAUGGAAAGAGAACAAUUUCACACAAGAAUGGAAAAUAAGUGGUUAUAAAAUGUAACCACAUCAAUAGGCUCAAGUCUCACAAGCUUGUGUUCUCAAUUCAAUACAUGCUUCACAAGGUAUGAAAUUCAAGCAAGUUUCAAAAAAAAUUCUCUUUCAAUCAAUUGGGUCAAUGCCCUAUAUUUAAACUUCUUGAAAAGUCUUAAUGUUUGACUAAGCAUUGUUGUGAUUGAAAAGUUCAAAAAUUUUCUUAGUUCACCCUUUGCUUUUUCACUUAGAACCAAUAUAUUAUGCAAAAAGGGUGACUAAAUAUUUGCAAUCCAAAGUAUGAUUUCUAAUCACAACUACAAACUAAAAACAAAGAUAAACAAAAUGUAUAAAGAAGAAUCCAACUAAAAGUACGGAAUCUAUCAUCCAAAACAUCUAAAAAUAUCCAAAAGCAUCAAAAUAUCUAAAAUCCAAAAUAAGCAAUAAAAGUAUCCAAAGCAAACUAGAAAUGCAUCAAAAUAUAUACAAAGAUGUGCAAAAUGAGAUAACUAGGCCGAAAAGUUCACCGGUUCCCAAAUAAUGCUACCUCCCCACUCCCCACACUUAAAACCAAGCAUCGUCCGCGAUGCUAAACCGGAGGAUCAGUGGGAGGUACAACGAUAGGCUCAGGCUCGGCUCUGGGACCUGGGAUCUCGGUAGUGGUAGGAGCAGCUGGAGGUGCAUCCCGCUGAAGUGGCUCAUCCGCAUCCUCCUCCUGAUGAUCCUGCUCAUCGGAGGUCGGAGAGUCUGGAAGCGGAGGUAACUCAGCGCCAAGGGAGAGGAGUGCCUGAUCCAUCCGAUCCAGUCGGCGUCUGACAUGGAGCCUCUCGCGCUCCAAGAACCGAAACAGACGCUGAACCAGUAGGUAAGUGGGCUCGGGUGCUGAAGGGGGUGGGGCUGCUGUCGAAGAAGAUGGUAUAGCUGCCUCGACUGCCGCUCUAGCUCGAGAACGGCGGCUGGUCGAGGGCCUCUCGUGCACCCACACACCCCAGGGAAUAGUAACUUCCUUGUCGUCGUCAUCUGGAGGUGGUGGUGUCACGUCAUUGUCCUCCUACGGGACAUCAGCUAGCUCAGCUAAGCUAGUAACCAGUGUCGGAAACGGUAACAAGCCGCGAAUAUGAGCUCUCCACAUGCUAUGCCUAAUCAGUCGGGGAAAAUAUACUUCCUUCCCCUCCAUGACACACCCAAUCAAGACUAGCAUAUCCAUCGGAAUCUCUGAAAAGUGAGUGGUAGGAAAGACAUAGUGGGCAAAUAUUUGUUGCCAAGUCCUAGCCUCCCUAGUCAGAUGUGCAAAUAGCAUGCCCUUGGGCUUUGUGUUGCUCGAAUCCAUUACCCAAGAAGCAUCUGGUGUAGCAAUCACGCGCCUAAGUGCCUCAUAGUCGAAAUUCAUGGAGAGGAGAGCUACCUCUGCCUGCUGGUAGGCACAAGUCUCAGGAGUACCAACUCUGUAGAGCAGUGCAUCCCUCAAGGCAUCCUCAGUGAUCAUAAUCUCUCUACCCCUCAAGAAUACUGAAUCCAAGCCCGGUCGAAAGAAAUUGCAGUAAAAUUCCUUGACCCACGAGAUGUUAAUCCGUCCCAAGUCCCUAUCGACGAAAUCCAAGCCCAGCUCAGAAAUACGGGCGUUUAUGGCACGCCUCACAUCAUUGGGAAGAUUCAGCUUCUUCUCAAUAUUCAGAUUCUUCUUUGCAUGACGGGAAAGGCGUAGCUCACAGUAGAGAUUUGGAAAUUUGGUUGGAUCAGUGGACGGGAGUAACUGAUUUUCUUUCUCCUCCUCAUUCAGCGGAUUCCUUGCAUAGUUAGCAGAUGGUGGGGGUGUAGAGGUCUUGGAGCGCUUCCUUUUUUUUGAAGCAGAGGCUAUAGCUUUUCCUCUAUCCGACAUCCUGAAAAAUAUGAUAGAAUAUAUAAAAUAUUUAGCAUGUAACACAGAAGGCAUGUUCAGGAUACAAUUAUCAAAGAGCAAUCAUGAUGUUGCACUGAAUAUGUAAAAGUGAACAAGUAAACAUAAGUGAAUGAACCAAGACUGGAAUCUUCAUUAAAGGCAACAUCUCAUAUUCAAAAGGCAAUAAUAUCAUCAUAUUUUUGAAAGAAUUGUUAAAGAGGGUUAAAGGUGAGUGGAAGUAAAACGGUUAAAGAAAUUAGUAAGUUAGAAAAGUGGAUUAGCGAUAUGAUGAUAUAUAGGCUCAAUUGAACGAGAAAUUGCGGUUCAUGUUCACAAUGAUUGUGCGAAUCCGGGAAGUCAAAAAGGAAAUGGAAAUUUGCCCAAAACUGAAAUAAAGAUCAAGAUGAAACUAAUUUCCUUGAAAAUCGGACAGCAUUCCGGCUUAAAAUUGGACGUUUCCGGACAGCAAAAUAGCACAAUUAGCACAAAAAAUAACAUCAAUCACGCACAGCAGCAACAGAUAUUAUUUGGCAACACAUAUUGCAUGGAAUAUCAACCCAAAACCAACAUACCGUACCCAAGGAAGCAAGCAGCAGAUAUGCACAUACGGAGCAAUUAGCAGGCCUAGAAUCCUCUAUCCAGCCCUAGCUACCUAACAGCAAUUAUAUCUAUCUAACCUAACAUACAAAAUUUGAAUUUAGCUAACUAACAUGCAAUUCCAGGAACUAACAUAAAUGAACAAAUAAAAAGGAAAAAACAGAAAAAGAAAUAACAGAAAUGGAGCAGGAACCUGGGAGCCGGGAGAAACUGAGAAUGGAGAGGGGGACUACGAUAGGGCAGGGGCAGCAGAGACAGAAACUGGCACCGCCGUGAACGGUGGCGGUGAAGACGGCUGGCGCGGUGGUUUGGCCGGAGGUGUGAGAAACUGAGGGGAGGAGGGACGGUGAUGGUGAGAGAAGAGAAUGAUAGGAGAAUGUGCAGGACGAACAGAGAGGGAGCGAGCCGCCGGUAGUGAUGACGGGGUGGCGGCGGAGGGGUUGGUCACGGUGAGAUGGGUGAGAGGAGUGAGAGGGAGAGAGAGGACGGGUGGUGGUGAGAGGAGAAGGGAAUUGAUGGCCAAGGACGGUGAUGGAGGUAGGUCGUGCGGCGGCGGUCGCGGUGAGUGGCGCUCGCCGGAGGUUGCUGGGAGUUGAGUGGUGGGGGAAGAGAAAUGGAACGUUAGAGGGGAAGAGGUGUGUUGCGCGAAUGCGCUAGGGUUCGCGUCUCUGGGGUAGGUGAAAAUUCGAAUCCGCGCGUGCGCGCGCCGUGCGCGUUCGCGUCCAUUGAGAGAACGUGGGCCCUACGCGUGCGCGUACAACGCGCUUAAGCGGGGGGGAGCAAAAUAGGAAAGGACGCGUGCGCGUACCGUGCGCGCACGCGUGCAUGGAGUUGGGCUAGGGGCUUAGAGUUGGCCUAACUCAGGCCUAACUCUCUGGAGACUGGCCUGGGAGUCGCGCACCAGACCUGCGCGCGCGCGGCAUGUACGCGUCCGCGCGCAUUGGGGGAAAGGGAGAUUCAUGCGUGAGCGUGCAGUGCGCGCUAACGUGGCAACACGCAAGGACGCGCGCGCAGUAAAUGCGCGUCCGCGUACGUUGACGAAUUGUGAAAUGGCGCGAUGCAUGCGCUCGCGCAGAUCGGGUUGGGCCUGGGGCCUAAAGGUAGCCCAGAAAUGGCUUAACUCUCUGGGGUUUGGCUCAAUCAUUUGCAGCAGAAAAUCGGCGCGGACGCGGCAGGUGCGCGUCCGCGCGAACUUCCAUGUUCUAAUAGUCGGCGCGCCCGCACGUAGUGCGCAUCCGCGUGGGUCAGGUUGGGCUCAAGGCACAAUGUUUGCCCAAGAGAGGCCCAACUCUCGGGAGUGUGGCUCGUGGUGCAUGCGCACCGGGACGCGUACGCGUACGUUGUGCGCGCGCGUCCAUGCCCUUUUUUUUUUUUUUCCCCUUAGUGUUCACAACUCUUAUUCACUCAACCAUCAUACAAUUCACAAAAAUGCAAUUUUUGAUAUUAUUCAUCUACUACUAAACACAACAUGCAUGUGACUAAGCUAACAAUUAAGUUGGACAAACAAAUUUGUAUGAAACAUCUACCUACAAUGGUAACUCAAAUCACUUAUGAAGUAAAUUUAAAAGAGUGGAAAGAGUUUACCAUGGUGGGGUGUCUCCCACCUAGCACUUUUAGUUUAAGUCCUUAAGUUGGACAUUUUGAGAAGCUUAUUGUCAUGGUGGCUUAUGUUUGUACUCAUCCUUGAAUCUCCAAGGAUCCUUGCUUCUCAAUUGGUUGACAGAAUUUCCAACCAUAUUCAUCAAGCUCGGGCACAGUUCCACCCAAGAUAUGAGUCCCCAUAGUUGGUCUUCACAUAGCGAACCGGGAUCCCAUAUCUUGUCUUCACACCCAUCCGUUAGUUGAGUUUCAUGGCUUUGUCGGAUGAGCGGUUGACAUAAAGGUGAUUGACACAUAGAAUUCUCUUUACUCCACCAAUGCUUCCUCCUAGAUCCGUAUAAGGUAAUCCUUGUCCCAACAUCAUCCCUAUACCUUGAGGCCUUGGCCUUGAUAAGCUUAACACCUAUUUUCCAACCACUACACAACUCGUUUUUACUUUUAAUUCCACAAAGAGUUCUAAGUUGACCCUCAUUUUCAAGCAAACCAUAUUCAAGUGAGAGAUUAAAGCUCAGGGAUAGAGAUUUUACCCACUUAAAUGUUGUGUUGGAUGGUAAUUUGGGGAGAGAGGCUUCCCCACACUUAGACCAUGCAAGGUCCACUUUCUUGUGCUCCUCUUUAGUUGUUUCCACCUCUUUACAAUUCUCUUCACUUUCAACCUCAUCCUCUUUCUUACGUGGCUUGGUGUUAUCUUCAAGAACUUCAUCUUGUUUAAUGAGAGGCGAUUCAAUUUUGGAUAGAAAUUCAUUGAUGAACGAGGUCAUCUCUUGAUCAACCUCUUCAUAUUCGUCAAUUUCAAUAUACACUAUGCCCUUCUCAUCUUCCUUGGGAGGUUGUGCACACUCUUCUAUAAUUUCAACUCCAUGUCCAACGGGUGAAGAUUCCAUUGUAGAGAUCAACUCAUCUAUGAUUGAAUCCAUUUCUUGAUAAACCUCUUCCAAGUCUCCAACGAUGAUAUGUCUUGGAGAUUGCGUGUAUUGAGGUGGUUCUUGGUAGUGAUCUUGAUAGGGUGGUGGUUCUAAGGGCUCUUGCUCAUAAUGGUCAUAAGAAUAUGAUAGGGGUGGUUGGUUAUAUGAGGGGUAGGGAUCAUAGGGAGGUGCUUAGUAUGGGAAGGCUUGUGAGAAUGGUUGAGGUUCAUGUUGAGGGUGAGAGUCAUAGGCAUAUGGUGGCGGUGCUUGGAAGUCACAAGGUGAUUCACCAUAGCCAUUGGAUUGGUAUGCAUCAUAGAAUGGCUCUUCUUCAUAGUGCCUUGGUGGAGGUUGUUGCCAUGAGGAUUGAUCAUAUGCAUAUGGCUCCUCCCACCUUUGUUCAUCCCAUUCUUGAUACACAUCUUCAUUAUAGUCCUCAUUUCCUACAACAUGUUGAUAACCAAACUCAUAGCCAAGGUGAGAAUUCAUGAUAGCAAGAAGAAAAUGAAAACAAAAUCAAAUAAGAAGCAAGAAAAUUAAAUCCUAAAACUAGCAAGAGCUAACGAAAGCAAACAUAUUCACACUAUUCACAUAUAUACAAUAACCAAUAACAUAACACCAUUGCAAUUCUCCCCGGCAACGGCGCCAUUUUGAUGAAUAGAUUUUUGACGGUUUAGAAUUUCACUAAUAAAAUCUCGUUGUAAAGUAUAGUUUCUAAACUAAAAGUGAUUAGUGGUUGGGAAUGAUGGUUAGUCAAAAAGUGAUGAUGAUCCUCCUUCCCCCUAAUCCUUCAUCCUUUUAUUCCUUUCCCUUAGCAAUUUGGCGCCAAAAAUGGGUUCAGAAACCCUCUCAAAUCGCCAGGCACGUGUUGCAUUAGUGAGGUCAUGUGCCCUCAUCGACGCGUGCGCACACGGUACGCGUGCGCGUCCCUGGCUAAUUCUGCGAUGUGCGCGCGAGCACCUUGUGCGCGCGCGCGUGCAUGGCUGACUUUGCUUCUUUGACUUUUUAUGCUUCUCUCCACUUGUAUGCUUCCUUCCUUGCUUCCUUUGAUCCAUGCCUAGCCUAUUUCAAUCCUGGAAUUACUAGCAAACACAUCAAGGCAUCUUAUGGAAUCAAAGAAGAACUAGAAUUCAUCAAAAUAAGGCUUAAAAAGCAUGUUUUUAC
rnacentral:lncRNA from 1 species